GACGUUUUGGCGGUUGAACGGAUUUUUUGCAGUGACGCCGCGGCGGCCGUUCGCACCGGGUACUUAUUCGUGAACGCCGGUUUAUUAGUGCACAUAUCUAUGAUCACCAUGGAGACGACUGUCGUAAAAUCGCAUUAUGUUGGUCCAAUCGCACUUUCCGCGAAGACGCUUUGUUGACAGACGCGAGCGUCCCUCCGCCCGAGACACGAACAUAACCCACUUCCGCAUAUACAUACCUACAUAUAGCUUUUGCUGCAGGACUCCAGAGCUCGGAAAUGGGUCUCGUGGAGCGAGGCAAGGAGAUGCAAGAUUUGGAUGCGCCGAGGCCUGGAAAGUCGAGGGAUCUCUUUGGCGUGCAGCUCGAGGUGACGCAGAGAUUAUGAAUUUGAAUAUGGAAAUUCCACUAUCCCACAUCGGAGAAAUUCACCCGAGAGCAAAAAAAAAAAAAAACUCGAGUCCGAGUUUCCCAUCCGGUGCAGUCAUUCCAUCAUUACUUCCGCUCUUUCGUUUCUCUCUCGUCAUUUUUCUCUCUGCUUCUACUUACUCGAAGAGAGGACGUCUCGUAUUCUACGGCUCUCGUAAAACCGGACUCUGCUAUCCGGGAUGGACGUGCGGCUAAAGCGAGGUGCAUAAAAGUGAGAGAUGAAAAAGAGCGCGCGCAGAGCCAACCGAGGCGACAAGUACGGCGCUCUAAGGAGCUGAGAGAAGCCGAGUGGCUGCGUGGGCGGACGACCCAGAAACGACGCGGGUGGCGCUUCCGUGGAGCUGAUGGCCCUGUUAUUGUGGAUGGACCUGUUACCGGCUGCUAUUUUUUGAGAAUUUAUAAGGAUUGCUGUGGGACUGGAAACGUUGUAUGCGCGCAUAUUAGUCUUGAAUCUACUUUGGUGUUCUUAUCGACGCAUUUAAUUACGCUCGUUAGGAAUUACAAGUUUUAUACAUCUCUGAUUCCUCUUUAAUGACUCGACCGGACGAUUAAAGCUCGUAAUAAAUCCUCGGGACUUUCAUCACUCCCACCUCGGAGUAAACAAAAGUUUACGGAAAAAUCACAGUUCUCACGUUUUCUCGCGAGAGAACAUCUCGUACACCCUUUCCCCAUAAGGCCUCGCUAAUAGGAACAUCAGCCCCCCUCGUCCGCGCGCAAAAAGUGUCCGGCGCGCAUGCACACGCACACGUGUAACAUGCCUAUUACCCACUACCUGUCCAUCCAUCUGCCGCAGGAAGUUUCUUUUUCUCCGUGUAAAACGCUCCAUUAGACGCGUCUCUCGAAAGCCGGCGCGCGGGAUACAAAUUGUCUCCCCGGGACUACGAAACGUUUUUGCCUCGAACGGUUGAUUUGCUCGAUUUACUAGCUCGCUGAAGCUUUCCUCGUCUCGUGCUAUGCGACUUUAAUGAUUGUCAUGAGGAUGUUUAACAAGGGAUAUAGUUGUUUUGGAAUAUUGAAUCGACGACGUCGCGUUGGAGAUAUUUUCACGCGCUUACACAGCCGUGUUAUUACACGUCGUCGGCUAGGUUUCUUUUUAAUGAGGAUAACGACACGCCUCGUGGAAAAAUACAACAUCGACGAUCGUCGAUCAAAAGCGCGUAUUUUUUUCAAAAUUUCGAAAAACUGCUCGAUAUUUCUCCAUAUCGGAUGUGACUCAUUGCAGCCGAUACCGUUACUCCAAACCGAGAGAGAAGGCAAAAACGAAAGCGUUGCACCUUACUCAACAACCUGUGCGCGCUCUGCACACACAAAGCCGCAUCCUCACGGCACAAAAAGUACGCGAGACAAAAGCGGGAGACGCGAGAGAGAGAGAGAGAGAGAAGAAAAAAAAGUCAAAGAGGAGCAGACGGAAGACGUCGAGUGUCGCCAUAGACAAAGACAAAGCGCGGGUCCGGCAAUAUAGCCGUGGCGAAAGCGAAACGUAGAAAGAUUGUAUAUAGGCUCUCUUCGAUAUCUCGUCAUCGAGUCAUCCUCAUCGUAUUGUCGCCUUAAUGGUCCUCUUCUCCCUUGCUUCUCGGAGAAGGUGCGAGAUACCGGUGCGAUUUUGAAAAGGUUCUCAAAUCGAUCGAUGCUCUUACCGUUCUUCAUCCGAGUUAAAGAGGCUUACGGUUGGAAAAUAAUGCCGAAAGGAUAAAGCGCAUUCUAGCGCGCUGAUCUCGUCAUGCUGACUUCGUCCUUGCCGGUACUUUCGUUUUUUUCUCUCUCUCUCUCUCUCUCUCGCUCCUAAUCAGCUUAUGCUCGGCAGCGUUUUACAGUUAAAGUCGGGAUUGCGCGCGUUAAUUGAACUGUGAUUUGUAAGUCUUUCAUAAUCGUAAUGGCUUUUCAAUCCGGGGAUUAUUACCGUCGUUUUGUCCGCAGCGCAUUGAUACGCGCGCUGCGCGCAGGUGAAAGUUAUCGAUUAAAACAAACAGCGCCGGCUUUUCCUCUGCAUUCGCCCGCGGUUCGCUUAUCUCUAUCUCAUUUAUAUCUGGAUAUCCUUUUUUUCUUUUCACGGACUCGAGGCUAACCGCAGACGAUAGUCACAUCUGAUACGUCGUCGUAAUUAUAUAAACACAUCGAUUUCACAAGCGUUAGUCACAAGAUUAACUCUCUGACAUUGAUAAGGGGAUUAACGAGCAGCAGACAUACGUAUCCCGAGUUUUCCGAGUAUAAUCUAAAAACAAGUUUUCAGUCGUCGCGAUCUCUUGCAGGGAAUAAAAGUCACACCCCCAGCCGAAUUCGUCGCGCACACGCGAUAAUGAGCCCGGGCCUAUGAAUAAAAAAUCGAAAUUACUAAAGGGGCUGCUGUACGUACUGCGCGAGCCUUAAAAAGCGAAGCCCAUGAUUAAUUCACCCUACGCAAUCUGUUACUCGUCGACAAUACGUACUGCGCGCGCGCGCGUGAUGCAUGACACGAAAAAAAGCGGGCCCCGGGAGCUGUCACGCGUUAUUGAUACAACUUGCGUCUAGGAUACGCCCAAAUUGUGUACACUGCACGCGAGCGGCUCGCUGCGGGGAUGUGUAUAUAGACAGUAUAUAUAAACAGCAGUCGUGUGCGCCUUCUAAACGCAUCGGUGCUGCUGAUGGACGUCGGGGGGCGAGCCUUUGCGUCGAUAAAAAUUGGAUUGGUUCGCCGCUCUGUAUUUUGGAAAUUUUACGAGCUUCGCUAUCGAGCUGUUGUUGGGUUUGAACAUUGCAAAAGAAAACGAGAAAUGCUCGGUCAUCGAAUUAUUCUCCUGCGCCGUCAAACCACCCCAUCAAACAAAGUAACGCGCACUCCCUUAUCAAUUAGACAGCGCUAACAAAAGUAUAUAGUUAUACUAUACCAUCCCAACGAGGCUCCUAAACGCAUCCCAUUAAUAAAGCAACGCCCGCCGAUCGAUAACCGAGUGCACUCGCCGAGAAGCAAUAAUAAUCGAGCCGCCCCAUAAAGCAAAACAAACAUCAGAGCCGCGGCGACCAUCCAGAGAAUUCGAUCCGCGCAGCUAGCGCAAAACAGCAAGGGAAAGGUGUCCGUCGGCGCAAUUUGAUCGCGCGCGGAUACCACCCGCGGAAAUUAUACCGCCGCCGAGCCAUAUUUACACUGCGGCGACGUUCUUUUUGUUUGCUCGCUGGAAUAGAGUGGACGGUAUAUUAAUUGUGGAGCGCAUUUUUUUUUUCGCGGCGGAAGUUUGCGAUGACGACCCGAGUUCAGCCCGCCUCAGCUGUCCUCGUCAAAUAUGAAUGAGCUACCGGUUGAUGGGGUUGAGCUUUGUUGCUUCCGUGCGAGGAAUAAUAUAGUCUAUAUCGAUCGCUCGCGUCGCUGCAUUUCUUUUUUCCAUCUCUUCCUUCCGUUUUCAAAUAUACAUUCGGUGCAGAUCGUAUCGAUCGAUUAUCAAAGCAAGCGGCAUAUCGGACGAUUAUCUCGCUGAAAAAUUCACACUAUCAACACCUGCAGCGCGAAAAAAAUUACAUCGCAAACAGAGGCGCAAAAGAUUCAUUAGGCCGCGCGCCACUCGUCGAUCAAUCAAGCCCCCCCCCCCCCCGACGUCGCGGGGGCAAAAAAGCAUACAGCGGCUCUAUAAUAAACCGUCAACUAUAUGUAGACGACAGACUGUGCAGCUAUAGCUCGAACUAAAACAAACUCGCGCCGGCGAUGUAAUAAACUUUCUCGUGUCCGCGAUGCAGCUGCAGCGUCAUGCUGGCCUAAACGAUUUUCGCUAGUCAGCCGCGCGGGGGCGCUGCUGCUGCUUGUUUAGUGCGACGGGAGCGCGUGUUUGGGAACCGUAAAGAAGGCGCGUAAUCAAGCUCGCUUCGUAAUACUUUUAUGGGGCUUUCCUUUUCACGUGCGCGCGCGGGAAGGUUUAUACGCCGAUAGCUGUGCACUUAACGAGCUGAAUCGAGCGGUUCACUGCGCUGCUGCUGCUGCUGGCUAUAAUAUACGCUGAGAGAAGCAUUUUUAAUGAUAGAGCUUUUUUGGAUUUAUUUCGUCCGAUAUAGACAUGCCUUAUGAAUAGUCUUCUUAAUAUCCAAUUUCGAGCUUCGUGUGUUCCGCGAUCCACUGGCGAUAAUUAGGAACUUAGGUGUAAACGCCAAGAGUCCUUAGCGAUCCGAAGACUAGACCCCAAGAUACGAUUCCAACUAGUCUGUUAUUAAUGACGGCUGGACCUCCUGAGUCGCCCUGGCAUGUGUUGUCUCCUUUCGCACCAGCACAGAACAUGUUAUCUGUAAUUUCUGACUCUCUAAUAUAUGAAAUAUUCUUCUUCGAACAUAUCGGAACAACGGCAGCCUUUAAUUGCGAAGAUUUUAGCUUCCGUUCUUGUAGAAAUUGAAAUACGUUCACGCCUGUCCAACCGAACCUGUAUAGAUUACAUAGUUGUAUGUGAACUUACGCCUUUUUUUCCGUAUCCAGCGAUGUAUACCUUAUCGUAGACCUUUAGAACUCUAUUAUAUUUGUAGUUCAUUAAACUUGAUGGAUUCUUCGAGCUAUAAUGUAUGCAGCACGUUAAUUAUAGUAUAAAUCUUCAGUGGAUAUUCCAGUAGAUAUUUAUUUUUAAAUAAGCCGCUUAUGGCCUGAUAGAAUCGUUAUUAUACUCAACCUGAAUCAAAGCGAUGUCGUUAUCGAGCGUUAUGUUAUCGAAAUCUAAGUGAAUAAUAACUUUUUCGACUCUGUAAUGUUGUUCUCCUACUUCACGAGCACUUGAUCCGGUAAUAACGGUGUACUCCCCAUUAUACCUGCGUGAACCGUUUAUAAUUUAAUAAGCAGGUAUUUUCCUGUCAAUGCUGAUUAAUCAAUACCGCUUCAUGAAAAAUUACUCAUUUCACGCAAUGAGCAGCAGUAUAACGACCCAAUAUUCAGAGAGAAUCGCUUCCCCACAACCUUAAAUUUUAUUUCAAAGAAUUUGAGCCUGUAAUUAAGUUUUCAGUACAAUAAAAAGUCAUAAACAAAAAUAA